GUGCCAGCAGCUGCGGUAAUACGUAGGUGGCAAGCGUUGUCCGGAAUCAUUGGGCGUAAAGGGCGCGCAGGCGGUUCGGUAAGUCGGUCUUAAAAGUGCGGGGCUUAACCCCGUGAUGGGAUUGAAACUGCCGGACUGGAGUGUCGGAGAGGAAAGCAGAAUUCCUAGUGUAGCGGUGAAAUGCGUAGAUAUUAGGAGGAAUACCAGUGGCGAAAGCGGCUUUCUGGACGACAACUGACGCUGAGGCGCGAAAGCCAGGGGAGACAAACGGGAUUAGAUACCCCGGUAGUCCUGGCCGUAAACGAUGGAUACUAGGUGUAGGAGGUAUCGACCCCUUCUGUGCCGAGUUAACGCAAU
rnacentral:rRNA from 1 species